UAAACGGAGUUAUUAAACUCCACUUAACAACAUAUAAAAAAGAUUUU
rfam:Smittium culicis strain GSMNP scaffold-2937, whole genome shotgun sequence.